rnacentral:lncRNA from 1 species
UGGAAACUAAAAAACAUGUAUAUGUACUAUUUUUCCUACACGUCUAUUGAGACUAGUUACAAAUCGCUCAUGUUAACAUGAAUAAUUUAUCUCAGUACUAAUUAUUAAUAUUGAUAUAACUUAUCGCAAGAUUAGUAAUCAAACAAGAGAUAAGGCGAUACUAUAUUUUUAUGGACUAUUUAAGCUUUUCCAGCAUAUCAAACACAC